rnacentral:rRNA from 1 species
GACGUAGGUGGCGAACGUUAUCCGGAAUUACUGGGCGUAAAGAGCUCGUAGGUGGUUUGUCGCGUUGUUCGUGAAAACUCACAGCUUAACUGUGGGCGUGCGGGCGAUACGGGCAGACUGGAGUACUGCAGGGGAGACUGGAAUUCCUGGUGUAGCGGUGGAAUGCGCAGAUAUCAGGAGGAACACCGGUGGCGAAGGCGGGUCUCUGGGCAGUAACUGACGCUGAGGAGCGAAAGCGUGGGGAGCGAACAGG